rnacentral:rRNA from 1 species
GAACGAACGCUGGCGGCGUGGAUAAGACAUGCAAGUCGAACGAGAACUACGAAUAGCUUGCUAAUUGUAGUUCUAGUGGCGGACGGGUGCGUAACACGUGAGCAACCUGCCCUAAAGUGGGGGAUAGUCCUUCGAAAGGAGGUUUAAUACAUACCGCAUGUGGUCUUCGGAUCAAAGACGGCUUCGGCUGUCGCUUUGGGAUGGGCUCGCGGCCUAUCAGCUUGUUGGUGAGGUAAUGGCUCACCAAGGCUACGACGGGUACCUGGUCUGAGAGGACGAUCAGGCACACUGGAACUGAGACACGGUCCAGACACCUACGGGUGGCAGCAGUCGAGAAUCAUUCACAAUGGGGGAAACCCUGAUGGUGCAACGCCGCGUGGAGGAUGACGGUCUUCGGAUUGUAAACUCCUGUCAUCUGGGAGUAAGGCUUAUCGGUUAAUAACCGGUAAGAUUGAUAGUAUCUGAAGAGGAAGGGACGGCUAACUUCGUGCCAGCAGCCGCGGUAAUACGAAGGUCCCCAGCGUUGUUCGGAAUUACUGGGCGUAAAGGGUGCGUAGGCGGCGUGGCAAGUCAGAUGUGAAAUACCGGGGCUCAACCCCGGAACGGCAUCCGAUACUGCCAUGCUGGAGUAGUGGAGAGGAGUCUGGAAUUCACGGUGUAGCAGUGAAAUGCGUAGAGAUCGUGAGGAACACUAGUGGCGAAGGCGAGACUCUGGACACUUACUGACGCUGAGGCACGAAGGCCAGGGUAGCGAAAGGGAUUAGAUACCCCUGUAGUCCUGGCAGUAAACGGUGCACGUUUGGUGUGGGGAGAUUCGACCCUCCCUGUGCCGGAGCUAACGCGUUAAACGUGCCGCCUGGGGAGUACGGCCGCAAGGCUAAAACUCAAAGAAAUUGACGGGGACCCGCACAAGCGGUGGAGUAUGUGGCUUAAUUCGAUGCAACGCGAAGAACCUUACCUGGGCUUGACAUGCAUCGCUAAACCGGUGAAAGCCGGGGAGCGGAGCCGGAUGAUGCACAGGUGCUGCAUGGCCGUCGUCAGCUCGUGUCGUGAGAUGUUUGGUUAAGUCCAGCAACGAGCGCAACCCCUGUGAACUGUUGCCAGCGGAUAAUGCCGGGGACUCUGUUCAGACUGCCCAGAUCAACUGGGAGGAAGGUGGGGACGACGUCAGGUCAGUAUGGCCCUUACGCCUAGGGCUGCACACGUACUACAAUGCCCAGCACAAUGAGAACCAAGACCGCGAGGUGGAGGAAAUCUAUAAAACUGGGCCCAGUUCGGAUUGGAGGCUGCAACUCGCCUCCAUGAAGUCGGAAUCGCUAGUAAUGCCGUAUUAGUUACGACGGCGUGAAUACGUUCCCGGGUCUUGUACACACCGCCCGUCACAUCAUGGAAGCCGGUCGCACCCGAAGUAUCUGCGCUAACUCCGCAGUAAGAGGCAGUGUUCUAAGGUAAGGCUGGUAACUGGGAUG